AGCCAAACGAACACAAAAAAAAACAUUUAUUAUAACAUUUUCCACGUAAAAAAUUAUACCAAUCAAAUACGAUAAUUUAUAAUUUCCAAAAAAAGAAUUUCUAGAUAAUUCAAUUCGCUGAAAUUUUCAAUUGAAUUGAAUUCCAUCUUUGGAAUCAAACGAACCCUCAAACUCUUCAGAAUGUGUGUAGCAAAAAAAUUAAAUUAAAUAAAAAUAAAAAUAACAAUUUCAGUUGUUCAGAUGUAGGAUUCUCCAUCUUCAUCUUUCAUGUUUGUAGGAUUCGACCAACAAUUUAAGUUGCAAGAAAUAGAGAUAGAGUCUUAAAUAAUCCCACAACAUCCCACCACCACCAUCAUCACCUUCCCAUGUCUCACCCAUGAAACUUAAAAUAGAUCUGACAGAUUUAGAUUUGAAGAUUAACAAAUCCACUAAAUCAAACUUAUUGUGUUACAGGCUGCAAAUUUGAAUUUUUGCAAAGAAAUCCAUACCCAUUAAAUCGAACAACAUACUUACUUCCGCUUGCUGACUAUUAUGUAGGAGAAGAUGGGUGGUGUUGCCUUCGAAGCAAUAAACAACAACAACGGGUUAAAACUGUACACGAACUAAAAAUCAAAGAUAUGGAGAAAAUGGCUUCUGACGCGAUGGAAAGUUUAGCUACCGCAGUUGGAGAAGUGUCGCAGAGUUUCCGGGUUCAUUGUGCUCAAGGGUUUCAAACUUUUAGUGAUUUGGCAUAAAAUAAAAUGGUGGGAUGAAGUGGGUUCUGAAUUUGGGCCAAUUUUGAUAGAACACGGAAUCUAUUUUCUCUUUUCUGCUCAGGAUUUGUUUUUGUUCUUUUUUUAUUCAUUUUCAUUUAUCCACUUCACAAUGUCAACGCGCCUGUCACCCCUUUGGU
rnacentral:lncRNA from 1 species